rnacentral:misc_RNA from 1 species
AAACAAUAUCAUAUAUCUCAUUAUAUAUGCAAUAAAACGAAUUUAGGAUCCACAUUAUCUGAUGAAUAUCCGAGUCUACCUUACGUAGAAGAUGCCUUAGCAAGGAUACCAGGAACAAAAAUUCCAGAAAUGGUAACAAGGGGCUGGCUGGCUGGGAGUGUAUCUGAUCGAGAAGGCCAUUCUUGUGUCGGCACCAGAAGCGGCUGCUGCAAAGGGAGUGCUCUGUGUGAGAGUGUUCGGCUAUCGGUGUUAUCACACUUCUGAACGGGGAAAUGUUAGCCCAAGUGUCACGUUAUCCACUCCGAGUCCCUGUGCGGAUUAUGCCAGGGAGUCGUAGACAACAGGCAGUACACCAGGAUCGUUUUAUUCAGCAAGGAGCAGCUCUCUUGGCUGGAUUAGGCUUGUGUAUUUCAUCUUUUUCCCUGAAGAAGCUCUCAGCCAUGCCACACAAACCAAGACGCUUGAUCUAGGCACUGUGGACAUAGGCACUUUAUAGGAGGAGUAAAUAAUGGAAUUAAUUUAUUUAGGCUCAUGAAUUGAGAAUGACAGUGAUGCAGGUCUUACGAUGAGUAGGCUUGCACACAUAUAUAAAAGAUAAUUAAAUAUCUAAUGUAUCAGCUAUAUAAGGAGACACAAAUUUUAGCUCUGAGAAAAUUCAUCCUCAAUUAUAGUUUGGAAAUAAAAAAUAAUUCUAUCUAUAGAGUGAGGACAGGAAGCAAUAUACAUUAAUGUCAAUUUCUUCAUAACUAUUAUCUUCCUUAGCAAUGGAAAGAGCAGUAAUUCAUGAAAUUAUGCUUCAACUAGAGAGAAAUGGUACUAUUUUCUUUUUUAAUUAAUGACUUUUGUGAUUCAGAUAACAUGUAUAUAUAUGUAAAAAUAUAUAUACAGUUUAUAAAAUCAUACAGUCAUACUUUUUUUCUUUAAUAGUGUUUUCAUAGCUAUCAUAAUUAUUACAAAAGUUUACUAAAUGUCAUUUUUUGAAGUAUCAUUACUUUGUAUGGCUGUAUAAUAAGGUGCAUUUUGAUUCAGAGAAAAUGUAGUAGACAAGGGAAUUCUAAGGUUUUCUUUGUUUCCCAUUUGAUUCCAUAAUCAUGCAUGGCCCAAACAUUAUUUCUUGACACAUGAAAGAAAGAAAUUAGGUCAUCUUUCUGAAUUGUUCAGUUUUUUCAUUUACUUGUUAUUAGCAUUAAUUUUCUGACUAAUUGACAUCAUGUCAUGCUGGUAUAAUGACCUUUGUGCUUUUUUAAGCUUUAAUGAUGAAACAUAAUUAUUAUUUUUUUUUUUUGGUGGUUAUCAAUAUUAACCCCUAAAGGAUGUGCCAUAUUACCAUGUGACACAGAAAUGAGUUGUAUUUUUGCAGUCUACUCGUCCAAAACUACAUGAUGGUACUUGAAAAUAUUACAAUUCUGGUUUCCUGCUGGAUAUUUGUACAGAUUGUGCAUGUCUUCACCUGAACAUGACUAAAUUCAGUAUGUGUGUCCUUUAGAGGUUAAAUGUAUUGUAAAAAGUUAAAGGGUCAUAAUAUUAUGAAAUUAUUUGUUUUUUAUCUAGGUAUGCUUACAAUUUUAGAUAAAUAUUGGCAAUAAAGUCAUUUUCCAUAAGAAUUAAAACUUCAGAGUUAUAUUACCAUAGCUAUAAAGAACAAAUAUUAUAAUUAUAAACUUAUUAGAAUAACUGCAAACAAAUGUCCAGCAAAAACACUAGAAAUGUAAACUAGUAAUAUUGCAGAUAAAUGUCCAGCAAAAACACUUAGAAUGUUUGCAUUUAUUUUUUAGAUUGUAGGUAUUAGUAAAACUCCUGGGCCCUGUACAUUGGUUUACACAGAGGCUUUGGGGAGACACACCAAUGUUGUCUUUUUUUUCUUUUUUUUUUUAGAAAAAAAUAUUUUAUGCUAUCCUUUUUGUGUAUUAUAUUGUAGGUAUUAUAUUUUGAGUUUAAUUAUUAUGAAUAUAUUUGUGUGUGUGCACUUUGAAUGCAGUGAUUCUGCAAUAUUAGAUACAGCAGUCCAUUGACUAAACAUUUUGUGAUACAUGAUGUCUUGUCUACAUUUUAAUAACCAAGAGGUACACACACGUGGUAUUCUUCACAUAUCACUACAAACUUAAAUGCUCAUGUGUAUUUACCUUGUGGUUUUAUCAUAUUCUCUUCAUAAGGUGAAUCUUUGGGAAUUAAGGUUUGAUAGUUCUAUUUUUAUACACAUUAAACUCCCAUAUUGUAUCUGGGUUUACCCAUUUCCCUCAUGGUUGUAUGUAACACUAGAAAGGUGAGGUUGUAAUUCAUAAUUGAUAUUAACCUUCAUAUGGAGUUUUCACUGAACCUAAUUCCAAAGUUGCACCUCAUAUCUUCUUUCAAGAAUGUAUUAUUCAAUACAGUUUGCAUCAUGCAUCUUCAUUUCCACAGACAUGUAUAAAAGGUAUUUGUAAAUAAACAAUAUUAAUGAAA